AUUUAUUAAAUUAUUAAAUUUAUUUUUUUUUAUAUAUUUUAAUUAAAAUAUUAAAAUUUUUAUUAUUUAAAGGAAAAAUUUGUAUUUAUUAUAGAUUAUUAGUACUGAGAAGGAAAUUUUUAAAAUAUUUAAAAGAAAAAUUUUUUUGUACCUUGUGUAUCAGGGUUUAUUAAUUAAUUUGUAAAAAUUUAUUUAUCUCGAAUUCAAAAGAGCUAAAUUAUUAUAAAUUUUAUUGUAAAAUAAAUAUUUAUAAUAAUAAUUUAGUAAUGAAACGUUAAUCGUUUUUGAAUAUAUCUAGUUUUUUAAGAAAAAAAUUUAAUUUUAAUAUUAAAUUUCAAUAUUUUUUUUAUAAAUAUUUUGAAUUUAAUUUUAAAUGAGUUAAGGGAUAAGCUUUAAUUUAAAUUAUUAUAAUUUAUAUAAUUUUAAUAUUUUAUAGGAUUGAAAAUUUCUAUUAAUAAAAGUUUAUUAAAAUUUAUUAUUUUUUUAUUAAUAUUUAUAUAAAAUUUAAUUUUUUUAUUAAAAUAAAAAAUUUAAUAAUUAAUUUUUUGAAAUAAUGAUAAAAUUAGUAUUGUAUGUAUAUAAAUGUAUAAAUUUAUAUAUUGAUAGGUUAAAUAUAGUAAUUCGGCAAAUUUAUUUUUCACCUGUUUAUUAAAAACAUCUCUUUUUGAAAAUAAUUUAAAGUAGGGCCUGCCCACUGAAAAUUUGAAGGGCCGCAGUAUUUUGACUGUGCAAAGGUAGCAUAAUCAUUAGUUUUUUAAUUGAAAGCUUGUAUGAAUGGUUUGAUGAAUUUAAUUUUUUAAAAAUUUUAUUUUUAAGUUAAAAAGCUUAAAUAAUUUUAAAAGACGAGAAGACCCUAUAGAGUUUUAUUAUUUAAAUUUUUUAAAUUUUUAGAAUUUAAUUAUUUUAAUAUUUUAAAUAAUUUGAUUGGGGUGAUUAAAAAAUUAAAUAAACUUUUUUUAUAUUAUAACAUAGAUUAAUGAAUAUUUGAUCCAUAAUAAUGAUUAAAAGAAUAAAUUACCUUAGGGAUAACAGCGUUAUUUUUUUUUAGAGUUCAAAUCGAAAAAAGAGAUUGCGACCUCGAUGUUNNNNNNNGAAGCUUAAAUAUUUGGUCUGUUCGACCAUUAAAACUUUACAUGAUCUGAGUUUAAACCGGUGUAAGCCAGGUUGGUUUCUAUCUUUAAAAUAAUAAUAGUUUUUAGUACGAAAGGACCAAAAUUAUAAUUAAUAAUUUAAUUUAAUGAAUAAAAAU
rnacentral:rRNA from 1 species